rnacentral:hammerhead_ribozyme from 1 species
AUCCAGCUGACGAAUCGCAAAUAAAACGAAACCACGCGUUCUAGAU